UGGGGUAUAGCUCAGUGUAGUGUGAGUGCUUAGCAUGCACAAGGUCCUGGGUUCAAUCCCCAGUACCUCCA
rfam:Camelus ferus unplaced genomic scaffold scaffold172, whole genome shotgun sequence.